rnacentral:rRNA from 1 species
GACGAACCGAGCGAACGUUGUUCGGAUUCACUGGGCUUAAAGGGCGCGUAGGCGGGCCGUAUGGUCCGGGGUGAAAUCCUCCCGCUUAACGGGAGAACGGCCCUGGAUACCUGCGGUCUCGAGGGAGGUAGGGGCGUGCGGAACACUGGGUGGAGCGGUGAAAUGCGUUGAUAUCCAGUGGAACUCCGGUGGCGAAGGCGGCACGCUGGACCUUUACUGACGCUGAGGCGCGAAAGCCAGGGGAGCAAACGGG